rnacentral:rRNA from 1 species
AUUGAACGCUGGCGGCAGGCCUAACACAUGCAAGUCGAGCGGAUGAAGGGAGCUUGCUCCUGGAUUCAGCGGCGGACGGGUGAGUAAUGCCUAGGAAUCUGCCUGGUAGUGGGGGAUAACGUCCGGAAACGGGCGCUAAUACCGCAUACGUCCUGAGGGAGAAAGUGGGGGAUCUUCGGACCUCACGCUAUCAGAUGAGCCUAGGUCGGAUUAGCUAGUUGGUGGGGUAAAGGCCUACCAAGGCGACGAUCCGUAACUGGUCUGAGAGGAUGAUCAGUCACACUGGAACUGAGACACGGUCCAGACUCCUACGGGAGGCAGCAGUGGGGAAUAUUGGACAAUGGGCGAAAGCCUGAUCCAGCCAUACCGCGUGUGUGAAGAAGGUCUUCGGAUUGUAAAGCAUUUUAAGUUGGGAGGAAGGGCAGUAAGUUAAUACCUUGCUGUUUUGACGUUACCAACAGAAUAAGCACCGGCUAACUUCGUG